GAUGAACGCUGGCGGCGUGCCUAAUACAUGCAAGUAGAACGCUGAAGCUUGGUGCUUGCACCGAGCGGAUGAGUUGCGAACGGGUGAGUCACGUGUAGGUAAUCUGCUUCUUAGCGGGGGAUAACUAGUGGAAACGAUAGCUAAUACCGCAUAAAAGCCGAUAUCGCAUGAUAUUGAUUUGAAAGGUGCCAAUGCAUGAUUAAGAGGUGGACCUGCGUUGUAUUAGCUAGUUGGUGAGGUAACGGCGCACGAAGGCGGGGUUAUAUAGCCGACCUGAUAGGAUGAGCGGCCACACUGGGACGGAGACAGGGCCCAGACUGCUGCAGGUGGGAGCAGGAGGGCAACGGCAGGAAUGGGGGCAGACCUGAGCGAGCAACGCGGCGUGAGUGAAGAAGGAUGCCGGGUGGGGGAGCUCUGUUGUAGGGGAGGAACGCGUGUGAGAGUGGAACGUACAGAGUGUGACGGUAACUGACCAGAAAGCAACGGCUAACUACGUG
rnacentral:rRNA from 1 species